UACAGAGGUCUCAAGCGUUGUUCGGAUUCAUUGGGCGUAAAGGGUGCGUAGGCGGCGCGGUAAGUCGGGUGUGAAAUUUCGAGGCUUAACUUCGAAACUGCAUUCGAUACUGCCGUGCUUGAGGACUGGAGAGGAGACUGGAAUUUACGGUGUAGCGGUGAAAUGCGUAGAUAUCGGGAGGAACACCAGAGGCGAAGGCGGGUUACUGGGCUGAUACUGACGCUGAUGCGCGAAAGCCAGGGGAGCAAACGGG
rnacentral:rRNA from 1 species